rnacentral:lncRNA from 1 species
UGGCCAACCAGUUGCCGAUGUGAAGCCCUCAUGAAGGACCCUUGUGGAAUGCACACUCCCCACUUGGAUUCUAGCAAAAUGGUAUUUAGAGGCCACUUGUUGGAAAUUAUCACUGGACUGUUAAGACGACUAUAUCAUUUGAAACAGGAGUUCCAGGAGUUCCAGAUUCAACUUGCUUUGGCUUGUUUGUUUUCUAGAUCCCUCUACCAGUUUCUGUAUACUACAGCCAAUGCGUCUUGUGUGUAUGGCCACUUAACCAAGGAUACAAGGCAGGAUAUAUACAAAGGAGGUAAUAAUCAUCAGGGGCUCAGCCUGUAUUCCGUUCAGCUUUAA